rnacentral:lncRNA from 1 species
GAACGUACCCGGCUCGGCAUUGUCUGAGACCAUCGGUUGUGUCUCCGGGUCGCUCUGCAGGUUCUGAUCCGACGUGAGAAGCCCCUUGUUGACCUGCAGGUUUUUGUAGUACUCCGAGUCUAGAUUGGUGGGCGUCGUCACGUCCAGGUCCACAAGGUUGUUGGGUUUGUCUGCGGGGCACUGCCUCUUCAGCGACUCGGCGUAGUCGGGAUCCAUAUUGGCGUCAGAGGGAGUGGUGAGGCGAUUUC